rnacentral:misc_RNA from 1 species
GAUGAAGAACGUAGCGAAAUGCGAUAAGUAGUGUGAAUUGCAGAAUACAGUGAAUCAUCGAAUCUUUGAACGCACAUUGCGCCUCCUGGCAUUCCGGGAGGCAUGCCUGUUCGAGCGUCAUCAAACCCCAUCGUGCAAAUGAAUUAUUUUUUUUGCGCGGAAGUGACGAUUGAGCGAGAAUAACAAAUCCUCUCGCACCUCGUCGAAAUGAUUGCGGGCGGAAUUUGGGAUCGGGUUCCUCGGCGUAGUGUAUCAAUGCAUAUUUAUGCAACUUGCCGCGGAGUUGAGCCUGACCCACGCGUUCUCGCCGUACAAACACCUCAUUACUUUACAAGUUUUUGACCUCGGAUCAGGUAGGGAUACCCGCUGAACUUAAGCAUAUCAAUAAGCGGAGGA